UACGGGAGGCAGCAGUGGGGAAUAUUGCACAAUGGGCGCAAGCCUGAUGCAAACAUGCCGCGUGUAUGAAGAAGGCCUUCGGGUUGUAUAGUACUUUCAGCGAGGAGGAAGGCGAUAAGGUUAAUAACCUUGUCGAUUGACGAUACUCGCAGAAGAAGCACCGGCUAACUCCGUGCCAGCAGCCGCGGUAAUAAUC
rnacentral:rRNA from 1 species